rnacentral:rRNA from 1 species
AUACGGAGGAUCCGAGCGUUAUCCGGAUUUAUUGGGUUUAAAGGGAGCGUAGGUGGACAGUUAAGUCAGUUGUGAAAGUUUGCGGCUCGACCGUAAAAUUGCAGUUGAUACUGGCUGUCUUGAGUACAGUAGAGGUGGGCGGAAUUCGUGGUGUAGCGGUGAAAUGCUUAGAUAUCACGAAGAACUCCGAUUGCGAAGGCAGCUCACUGGACUGCAACUGACACUGAUGCUCGAAAGUGUGGGUAUCAAACAGGAUUAGAUACCCUGGUAGUCCACACAGUAAACGAUGAAUACUCGCUGUUUGCGAUAUACAGUAAGCGGCCAAGCGAAAGCAUUAAGUAUUCCACCUGGGGAGUACGCCGGCAACGGUGAAACUCAAAUGAAUUGACGG